GGCUCAAUGAUUUCAACCAGUCAUUCUUGAUAUAUACGCUAUUCUGAUUGCUGCUGUUGAAAAAAAUAUCCAUGAGAGCA
rnacentral:snoRNA from 7 species